AUUAACUCAACUUGGGAAACUCAAUCUAAAAUCAAGUGUUGUCUUAAUUCGAUCCACUAAGUCAUACUUUUUUUAAGCUCUUUCUUAGUUAAUAUCCUUAAAUGAGUGGUCAGCCGAAAUAGAUCAUUAAAAUAAAUAUAAUUAAGACAAAAUGUUAUAACAAACACAGAGAAACACAUGUAUGACAGUCAAACAUCCAUUAAGAUCGUUUAUCACUCAACUACAAUCAAAUUCAGUUCAUGAUUUACGAUAGAAAAAUAAAUAAAAGAGUUUCAGUCAUCAAAUACAUCCCAAUGAAUAAAUAGAAAACAAAAAAAAGAAUAAGAAGAACUUAUUUCGGAUUAAUCUCUGCGAUUUCUCCUCUAGUACAGUCUUCAAUCUAUCUCUUAAUUUUUGUUUUUCUUAUUGUUUAUUUGCAGUAUAUCCUUUGGGUGACGGCUCUCCCUUUUCUUUUGCAAGCAUGCUCCUUUUAUAACUAAAAAUUAGGGCAACCGAGAGUAUGUGGUGCAUAUCCUUCAUUUUUGAAAACUUUAUAUCACAAUUUUUUAAUUAUCUCGUGCGAAAUAUUCUCUGUCAUUACUCCAGGAUUGCUACAAUAAUGGCUUCAGUAUCUUCACUGUUUUUUACUUAUUUCAAUUCUUAUGUAGUCAAGUUUUUUCAUUAUCUUUGCAGGUCUAUUGCAACAACAUUCAUUCCUUAAAUUUUGAGCUUUCGGUCACCUACAAUUAAACAUAUAAUCUAAAUACAAAUUAUUCUAAAAAAACAACUCAAUUUAUUAGAAUUAGACUAAAAUGGACGUUCAUGCAAAAUAUAAAUAAAAUGCAAUAAAAAUUACAUCAUUUACUCUCUAAGUAUUACCGAUUCAAGUUUAAAAGUGUCAUGAUAACUCUAUGAAGUUUAAAUUAAGCAUAUAAUCUAAGUACAAAUUAUUCUAAAAAACAACUCAAUUUAUUAGAAUUAGACUAAAAUAGACGUUCAUGCAAAAUAUAAAUAAAAUGCAAUAAAAAGCACAUCAUUUACGCUCUAAGUAUUACCGAUUCAAGUUCCCAUCUCAUCCAUAUAAUCAUCAUCAUCAUUAUCAUCAUAAUAUUCAUGCGGGCUGGAUUUUUCCAGUGACAUCAAUAGUAGUGCUAAUUCAUUUUUUAAGAUUUUUUUAAUUUUUAUUUUAACAUUGAUACUUUAAAUGAGACAGAGAUGGAUUUGUGAGAAUUAAAAAUGAGAGGUAGAAGAGAUUGAGAAUUAUUGAAUUAGAUUUAGAAAUUCAAUCCAAAUGGAUUCUAGGGUCAACCCAAACCGAACCGAAAACUGAAAUAAAUUUUUGGUUCGGUUCGGGUUGACUAAAAAAGGACACCCACCCCUACUUGUGGCUUAAUUCAUUUGCUUUUUUUUUUUUUUUUAUAUAUUAGAAGGCAUUUUAAUUGUUCUCUUAAAGAAAUUAAAAGAAAGAGACUGAGUAAAGAAAGACCAAAAUUUUCUUCCAAAAAGAAAAUAAGAAAAGAGCCAAAAAAAGAGAGAAAAAACUUACUUACCUAAUUGUGAGACUUUUAUAGGCAGCCAAGAUCACUGCCUCAAUAUUGAUGCCUGGACGCACUACAAGAUCGUUGAUGAACUGGCUUCGUGCCCAGAUAUCUUGAAAAAAAUCACGGGUUGGCCUUAACCUAACCCCAUAGUUGACUUAGUGCAGAUUCCCUUUUCACAUCAACCAACCGACCACGCAUGCUCAAUUCCCACGAGCUGAUCUCCCACACCUUAACUAAUGAGAGCAGGAUUCGCACUAGGCAACCUUUGGUUGUGCUCACAUUUCACACCUCAAACAUAUAUUACUUCAGUUUUUUUUUUUAAUAAACCUUAGAACCUGACCUUUUUUCUCUCUCUCUCUCAAGCCACAUUCUAGAGUAUUCUCCAAAUAUCUUUGUUUUCUUCGCCGAUUUGGCAAUCUUUCUCUUUUUCUUUUUUCUUUCAUUUUGCUUUGCUUGUUUCUUUAGCCUUAAUGGCGUUUUGUCCUUUCAUUUUU
rnacentral:lncRNA from 1 species